rnacentral:rRNA from 1 species
GAUGAACGCUCGCUACAGGCUUAACACAUGCAAGUCGAGGGGAAACGCCAUUGAAGCUUGCUUCGAUGGUCGUCGACCGGCGCACGGGUGAGUAACGCGUAUCCAACCUGCCUCUGACCAAGGGAUAACCCGUCGAAAGUCGGCCUAAUACCUUAUGCAGUCGUCGGAAGUCAUCUGAUGACGACGAAAGAUUUCAUCGGUGAGAGAUGGGGAUGCGUCUGAUUAGCUUGUUGGCGGGGUAACGGCCAACCAAGGCAACGAUCAGUAGGGGUUCUGAGAGGAAGGUCCCCCAGAUUGGAACUGAGACACAGUCCAAACUCCUACGGGAGGCAGCAGUAAGGUAUAUUAGGCAAUGGGCGAUGGCCUGAACCAGCCAAGUGGGGUGCAGGAUGACGGCGCUAUGGGUUGUAAACUGCUUGGAUGCGGGGAUAAAGUGAGGGACGUGUCCUGCAUUGCAGGUACCGCAUGAAUAAGGACCGGCUAAUUCCGUG